GGCCUAACACAUGCAAGUCGAGCGGAAACGAGUUAUCUGAACCUUCGGGGGACGUUAACGGCGUCGAGCGGCGGACGGGUGAGUAAUGCCUAGGAAAUUGCCCUGAUGUGGGGGAUAACCAUUGGAAACGAUGGCUAAUACCGCAUGAUGCCUACGGGCCAAAGAGGGGGACCUUCGGGCCUCUCGCGUCAGGAUAUGCCUAGGUGGGAUUAGCUAGUUGGUGAGGUAAGGGCUCACCAAGGCGACGAUCCCUAGCUGGUCUGAGAGGAUGAUCAGCCACACUGGAACUGAGACACGGUCCAGACUCCUACGGGAGGCAGCAGUGGGGAAUAUUGCACAAUGGGCGCAAGCCUGAUGCAGCCAUGCCGCGUGUGUGAAGAAGGCCUUCGGGUUGUAAAGCACUUUCAGUCGUGAGGAAGGUAGUGUAGUUAAUAGCUGCAUUAUUUGACGUUAGCGACAGAAGAAGCACCGGCUAACUCCGUGCCAGCAGCCGCGGUAAUACGGAGGGUGCGAGCGUUAAUCGGAAUUACUGGGCGUAAAGCGCAUGCAGGUGGUUUGUUAAGUCAGAUGUGAAAGCCCGGGGCUCAACCUCGGAAUAGCAUUUGAAACUGGCAGACUAGAGUACUGUAGAGGGGGGUAGAAUUUCAGGUGUAGCGGUGAAAUGCGUAGAGAUCUGAAGGAAUACCGGUGGCGAAGGCGGCCCCCUGGACAGAUACUGACACUCAGAUGCGAAAGCGUGGGGAGCAAACAGGAUUAGAUACCCUGGUAGUCCACGCCGUAAACGAUGUCUACUUGGAGGUUGUGGCCUUGAGCCGUGGCUUUCGGAGCUAACGCGUUAAGUAGACCGCCUGGGGAGUACGGUCGCAAGAUUAAAACUCAAAUGAAUUGACGGGGGCCCGCACAAGCGGUGGAGCAUGUGGUUUAAUUCGAUGCAACGCGAAGAACCUUACCUACUCUUGACAUCCAGAGAACUUUCCAGAGAUGGAUUGGUGCCUUCGGGAACUCUGAGACAGGUGCUGCAUGGCUGUCGUCAGCUCGUGUUGUGAAAUGUUGGGUUAAGUCCCGCAACGAGCGCAACCCUUAUCCUUGUUUGCCAGCGAGUAAUGUCGGGAACUCCAGGGAGACUGCCGGUGAUAAACCGGAGGAAGGUGGGGACGACGUCAAGUCAUCAUGGCCCUUACGAGUAGGGCUACACACGUGCUACAAUGGCGCAUACAGAGGGCGGCCAACUUGCGAAAGUGAGCGAAUCCCAAAAAGUGCGUCGUAGUCCGGAUUGGAGUCUGCAACUCGACUCCAUGAAGUCGGAAUCGCUAGUAAUCGUGGAUCAGAAUGCCACGGUGAAUACGUUCCCGGGCCUUGUACACACCGCCCGUCACACCAUGGGAGUGGGCUGCAAAAGAAGUAGGUAGUUUAACCUUCGGGGGGACGCUUACCACUUUGUGGUUCAUGACUGGGGUGAAGUCGUAACA
rnacentral:rRNA from 1 species